rnacentral:rRNA from 1 species
AGUGAACGCUGGCGGUAGGCCUAACACAUGCAAGUCGAACGGCAGCACAGUAAGAGCUUGCUCUUACGGGUGGCGAGUGGCGGACGGGUGAGGAAUACAUCGGAAUCUACUUUUUCGUGGGGGAUAACGUAGGGAAACUUACGCUAAUACCGCAUACGACCUACGGGUGAAAGCAGGGGAUCUUCGGACCUUGCGCGAUUGAAUGAGCCGAUGUCGGAUUAGCUAGUUGGCGGGGUAAAGGCCCACCAAGGCGACGAUCCGUAGCUGGUCUGAGAGGAUGAUCGGCCACACUGGAACUGGGACACGGUCCAGACUCCUACGGGAGGCAGCAGUGGGGAAUAUUGGCCAAUGGGGGCAAGCCUGAUCCAGCCCUACCGCGUGGGUGAAGAAGGCCUUCGGGUUGUAAAGCCCUUUUGUUGGGAAAGAAAAGCAGCAGGUUAAUACCCCGCUGUUCUGACGGUACCCAAAGAAUAAGCACCGGCUAACUUCGUG